rnacentral:rRNA from 1 species
CUCAAAUUUGAAAUCUGGCCUCUUUGGGGUCCGAGUUGUAAUUUGUAGAGGGUGUUUCGGGCGCGAUGCCGGUCUAAGUUCCUUGGAACAGGACGUCGCAGAGGGUGAGAAUCCCGUACGCGACCGGCGAUCAAGCCUGUGUGAAGCCCCUUCGACGAGUCGAGUUGUUUGGGAAUGCAGCUCAAAAUGGGUGGUAAAUUUCAUCUAAAGCUAAAUAUUGGCCAGAGACCGAUAGCGGACAAGUAGAGUGAUCGAAAGAUGAAAAGCACUUUGGAAAGAGAGUCAAACAGUACGUGAAAUUGUUGAAAGGGAAGCGCUUGCAAUCAGACCGGUCCGGAGGCGAUCAGCCGCUGCUCGUUCAGCGGUGCACUCGCCUGCGAUCCGGCCAGCAUCGGUUUGGGCGGUGGGAUAAAAGUCCCGGGAAUGUAGCUUCUCUCGGGGAGUCUUAUAGCCCGGGUCGCAAUGCCGCCCGCCCGGACCGAGGACCGCGCUUCGGCUAGGAUGCUGG